AGUCGAGGGGCAGCAUGGUCUUAGCUUGCUAAGGCUGAUGGCGACCGGCGCACGGGUGAGUAACACGUAUCCAACCUGCCGUCUACUCUUGGCCAGCCUUCUGAAAGGAAGAUUAAUCCAGGAUGGGAUCAUGAGUUCACAUGUCCGCAUGAUUAAAGGUAUUUUCCGGUAGACGAUGGGGAUGCGUUCCAUUAGAUAGUAGGCGGGGUAACGGCCCACCUAGUCAACGAUGGAUAGGGGUUCUGAGAGGAAGGUCCCCCACAUUGGAACUGAGACACGGUCCAAACUCCUACGGGAGGCAGCAGUGAGGAAUAUUGGUCAAUGGGCGAUGGCCUGAACCAGCCAAGUAGCGUGAAGGAUGACUGCCCUAUGGGUUGUAAACUUCUUUUAUAAAGGAAUAAAGUCGGGUAUGCAUACCCGUUUGCAUGUACUUUAUGAAUAAGGAUCGGCUAACUCCGUGCCAGCAGCCGCGGUAAUACGGAGGAUCCGAGCGUUAUCCGGAUUUAUUGGGUUUAAAGGGAGCGUAGAUGGAUGUUUAAGUC
rnacentral:rRNA from 1 species